rnacentral:rRNA from 1 species
ACAUGCCUACAGGGUAGUGUUAAUGCAUCAGAUCCCAUUAGAACUUUAUAGUUAAGCGUGCUCAAGCUAGAUUAGUAUUGGGAUGGGUGACCACCCUGGAAGUCCUAGUGUUUUACAUGCC